CAGCUUAUACAGGUUUUUGUAAGUGAUAGCAAAUUUUCCGUUCGUUAACUUUUUUUUCUCUUCCCUCCCUUUACACAAGAAACUUGCAAGGACAGAGCGCACUUCUGGCAUUUAAAUUUGACGGGCCGUUGCAAAUUCGUGUUGGGAAAUUGCAAGAAGAAAAAAAAGCUAGUUGUUACAUAUUUAAAUUUAUAAAUUUACAAAGGCAUUAAAAUCAGUGACGUAGAAGGAAGCAAAUCGCAAUGGAAUCAAUGGCGGCAGACUCCACAGCCUGCAGCUAUGUUUUUUAAAACACUGGCACGUUGCAAAUUCCUGUUCACGUCACAAUACUUUCAGAUCCGGAGCGUUUGUAUCGAGUCGGACGGCAUGACCCCGCCAACGAAGCCGCUGCCUUUGCUACGCUAUGUCUAUGUCGCCAUACUUUUCAGUUGAAAUUAAUUUCGUAUUAAAAAAAAAAUAAUAAUAAAGCAAAUAAAAUGCAAAAUAGUUAUCA